GUCAGAUUCGAAGACGCCAAAGUGGAUCUUGAUCCUUUCAUCAAAAGUCACCUGUUUGAAACCAUUGUCUUCCUUCAGAAAGAGAUAGGAGUCCACUACACUGAGGAGCUGAAGAGCCAGGCAGCCAAGAUCCUGGGUUCUGUGGACUUCCUUGGGAAUCCCCUGGGUCUGUUUAAUGAUGUCACAGAGUGAAUUUCAGGUCUGAUCAAUGAUGGCAAUGUG